UGAGGCCAUUGAGGGAGUUGCCAUCAUCAUAACCGUGUGGCCAUUCAGAUGUUCAAUUGCUCUUCUAAGGAGACACCAUGAAGGUUUGAAAGGCCAAGUGACUAUAAGUGGAGUUAUUCAGUGUGAAACUGACCGGAGGGGACCCAAGGCAACCCGUGCCAGACGCAGCAAAGAACCCUCAAAACAUAAUAGAUCCUCCUCUGUGUUUCACAGUAGGAAAAAAGACGCUCCGUCGCCAUAACCUGACCGCACCACGU